GCGAUCAUACCAGCAAUGAUGCACCGGAUCCCAUCAGAACUCCGCAGUUUAGCGUGUUUGGACGAGAGUAGUACUGGGAUGGGUGAACCCCAAGGAGGUCCUCAUGUU